GCCAUUUUGUGCAGUCUGUCCUUGCUGAUCCUGCUCAGCAGAAGGCUGGACUCCAUGACUUUCAGAGGUCCCUUCCAACCUUGGCCAUUCUGUGAUUGUGGGAUCCUCUAGCCCCCUGAAUCACAGACAAAUGAGAGUGGUGGUGCCAUAUUUAAUCGGCAGGCACACCUUGGCCAAGCUAUUUUUAACCAUUCACGAGGGAAUUUAGACAGCAGAUCCAUUGGGCCCAUGUUGGCACAACAGCCACGGGCAUUUUAUGCCUUCCGUGGGGAUGGUGCUGGCUGUCGGUGGAGGGAUGUGGCCAUGGGGCUGAGGCUCAUUCUGGGAAGGAUCUGGGUGCACUGUAGACACUAAGCCUGUCCUUUUGUCCUGCCAGGCAAUGUGGUGAGUUCCCCAGCAAGUCCAUCACCCUCAGGUGAGUGAUUCCCUCCUACACCCCCAGAAACCCGAGCAUGGGGAGUGGGCGUGCUGUGCUGCCUUCCCCAGGGCAUGGGGACAAGCAGGAGCUUUACCAGGCAGGAGCUGUUCCAGCUGCACAGGCACGUCCUGCUCCCUGCCUCUCCCCAUCACACCCCGCUGCCCUCACACCCUCUCUUCCCCAGCUCAAAAUUCCUGGAUCCCACACACCCUCGCCACAGGCACGGCGCUGGCAGUGGCGGCCGUCGGCCUCGUUGUCCUGGCUGCAGGCAGCUGGUUUGCCAUCAGGAAAGGUGCCUGCAGAGGGAGAUGCCCAAGGCAGCAGCACGUUGACAGCCCACAGAUGGAAACCACAGACCAUGGCGAAGUCACAUACUCCACCAUCGCCCAUGUUCAACGGGACAGGGUGAGUCAUGGCACAGCUGUGCACAGCUCCUUUCUGCACUCCUGCAGCCUGAUGCACGCUCAUUGUGCAGGGCUCACAGUCAGGAGCUGAAGUAACAGGGUUUCAUUUCUCCCUAAAACCUCCUCCCAUGCAGAAGACGAGCCACACCACGACAUAUGCCACGGUGACCCGCACCCAGACCCGAUAGCGCUGCCACAGGGCAAGGGCACAGGAGCCUUGUCCACAGAUGCCUUUUCUCUCCUGCAGAGUUCUUGUGCAGUCAUAUCAUGGGGCUGCGGGGUGCACUUUGGGCUUCUCUGGAAUUUUUUGUCACAGGGAAGGGCUGUGUGUGUCUAGCCAAGAGGAUGAAGGACUCAUAUCUCUGUUUGCAAUAAAUUAACACCUCUAAAAUAUAUCA
rnacentral:lncRNA from 1 species